rnacentral:rRNA from 1 species
GACGAACGCUGGCGGCGUGCUUAACACAUGCAAGUCGAACGGAAAGGCCCUGCUUUUGUGGGGUGCUCGAGUGGCGAACGGGUGAGUAACACGUGAGUAACCUGCCCUUGACUUUGGGAUAACUUCAGGAAACUGGGGCUAAUACCGGAUAGGAGCUCCUGCUGCAUGGUGGGGGUUGGAAAGUUUCGGCGGUUGGGGAUGGACUCGCGGCUUAUCAGCUUGUUGGUGGGGUAGUGGCUUACCAAGGCUUUGACGGGUAGCCGGCCUGAGAUGGUGACCGGCCACAUUGGGACUGAGAUACGGCCCAGACUCCUACGGGAGGCAGCAGUGGGGAAUAUUGCACAAUGGGCGGAAGCCUGAUGCAGCAACGCCGCGUGCGGGAUGACGGCCUUCGGGUUGUAAACCGCUUUCGCCUGUGACGAAGCGUGAGUGACGGUAAUGGGUAAAGAAGCACCGGCUAACUACGUG